UGUCGCGUCAUAGGAAUGAAUCAGAAGUGGAAAGCAGCUGUAUGGAGCCCCACACCACAGGUCGCAGAGGCCACUAAAGGAGAAGGUCGAUCAAGCCAACUUGCUGAACUUAAAGCUGUUCAACUGGCCCUGGACAUUGCAGAAACAGAGAAGUGGCCAAAGCUCUAUCUCUACAGUGAUUCAUGGAUGGUAGCCAAUGCUCCAUGAGGAUGGCUGGAGAGGUGGAAGGAGGCUAACUGGCAGCAUAGAGGAAAACCAGUUUGGGCUGCUGAAGAGUGGAAAGACAUUGCUACCAGGGUAGGGAGGAUACCUGUGAAAGUUCAUCAGGUAGAUGCCCAUUGCUGGGGUCACCUGUCAGUUGUCUCUGCCCCAGCACGGGAAAAGGUGGUUCUGGGCAGGCCGUGCUCUCAAAGAAGGAGUCUGGACUCUUGCUUUUGGUCUUCAGUUGAGUUUAUUGUUCCUUAUCUACAAAGUUUUUCUGUCUGUCCAGCUGAGGUCUGAUCAGCAAGACAGCCAAGGGCACUCUCUCCCGCCCACAGGGCGGUUGUCUCUUUUAUAGUAAAAACUUCGUAUAAGAUAUUUACCGUUAAUUUCCAACACUUUUCGCCCUUGUUGGCAAGUGCACUUUCCCUAUUAAGCAAUCCACACAUGCCAACAUCAUCCUGAACAUAGAUGCCAAGGAGAAGAAAGAAGAAGGACAGGGCACGCCCAAAUUCCUCCAUCUUGGGACUCCCGACCCAUGUACAGAAUUCCAAACCCCCUGUACAACAUAUAAAACCCCCUGGUACAGUGCAUUAUAAUUCAAGUUUUAUCAAGUGAAUAUCAUCCCCUCACCAUUCAGGCCUGAAAUUCUCCCAUUUCCUCACAUUCAGGUGUCUUUGGCUUCCUGCCAGGGUCUCCGAGCCCCUGCCAGGGCUUUGAGACAUCCAGGGCAUCCAGAGAGAUGCUCUGGGUUCCGACAGCCCAUGUCCCCAAGAGUAGAGCUAAUGAGGAGCACAAAAACAAUGAGCAGGUAGACCAGGCUGCAAAGAUAGAGGUGUCCAAGACAGACCUAGAUUGGGAACACAAGGGAGAGUUAUUCCUAGCUUGAUGGGCCCAUGAUGCCUCAGGCCAUCAGGGUAGAGAUGUCACCUGUAAGUGGGCACGAGACCGAGGGGUGGAUUUAACCAUGGACAGUUAUGUCUCAGGUUAUCCACGACUGUGUGACGUGUGCUGCCAUCAAACAGGGCAAGCGAGUGAAGCCCCUGUGGUAUGGUGGGCAGUGGUCCAAGUAUAAGUAUGGGGAGGCCUGGCAGAUUGACCACAUCACACUGCCCCAGGCACACCAAGGCAAGUGCUCACAAUGGUAGAAGCCACCACGGGAUGGUUGGAAACCUACCCUGUGUCUCACGCUACUGCCCGUAACACCAUCCUGGGCCUUGAAAAGCAGGUCCUGUGGAGGCAUAGUACCCCUGAGAGGAUUGAGUCAGACAAUGGGACUCAUUUCAAGAACAGUCUUAUUAACACCUGGGCUAGGGAACAUGGCACUGAGUGGGUGUACCAUAUCCUCUACCUUGCACCAGCUGCAGGCAAAGUGGAGAGGUACAGUGGACUAUAAAAACCCAGUGGAAAGCCUUGGGUGGGGGAUCUUUCAAAAACUGGGAGCAGCAUUUAGCAAAGGUCACCUGGUUAGUUAAUAUCCGAGGUUCCAACAACUCAGCAGGUCCUGCCCAGUCUGAGUCCCUGGAUAUAACAGAUGAAGUCCCAGUGGUAAAUGUCAGAGAUUUGUUAGGGAAGACGGUGUGGAUCAAUUCUGCCUCAAGUAGACAAACCCAUUUGCGGGAUUGUCUUUGAUCAGGGACCAGGUUGCACAUGGUGGAUAAUGCGGAGAGAUGGAACAACACAAUGUGUACCUCAGGGAGAUCUGAUUGUGGGGUGAAAAUCAUAUGCAAAUAUCACUGUUUGCUGGAUGUUACUGCCAUUGUCUGUACAUUAAACCAUACAGAUGUGAAACAGAAAAAAACGUGUCAUUGUCAAGGGUCCGAGCAAGUGAAAGAUGGAGUUUUGAGUCAGCAAAAUGGAAGUGAGGAAUCCUGCAGCUCUGUAGUCUGGGACCUGGAUUGAGUGCUCCGGUGUGGUUACGUGACAGGGGCACGAUGGGGAUUGCUUGUAAUGUUUUGGGGGAAGCAGAUGGAAGUUUUUACUUGAAUAAAAUGCAUGAGGUUUGGUAGUAAGUUGACGAUAUGGGGAUAAGGGGUGGAAUGUCCUAGGGUGAUGUUAUGAUGGUCAGAGAUCAGAGGAGCUGGGAGGGGGUAGGCAGCAUUUCUGAUCACAACCACUUUAGCAGUGUCAGUGGGGUUGAGUCCAAGAGAAGAACUUGCUCCAGCACAGAUGCACAAAGAGGGAGGUUUCCAGUGCAAUGCUCUGGGCCAGAUCACUUUCCGUAAGGACCUACACACUCCAGAUUCCCCAAGAGUCUGGUUUAUUGAAGCAACAAGACAGCAAUCUCAGGAUUGCUGCUGACUGGGGGCACUGGCUACCAAGUGCUGAUGUGUGUAGCAACAGAGAGAACAGUAAAGACAGAUUAUAGUAGAUGUAUCUAUCUAUCUAUCUGUCAGUCUGCCUGUCUGUCUGUCUUUGUAACGUUUACAUAAUUGAAUUUUCCUGGAUCUGGUCCAAUGAUGUUGGAGGUGAAAAGCUCACCUAAAGCAUCCCUUUCAGGAGAGGAUUAGUGACAUGUUCUGUCAACUGAUUCUGAGCAGGCAGAGAUGUUUCCCCCUUCAGACAUGGGUUUUUUUCCCCUCAGAGCUGUUUUUCUCCUCCAGCCUCUUCUGUCCUGAAGUCCGCAGUUUAAAUUUCUGCCUGUCCUAGGAAAGUGGAACACUUCCAUGGUUCGGUGGUGUUUGGUGACUUUGCUCAUACAGGCAUUACAUGACACAUUGGUAUGAGUUUCAUUUUAAUAAAGUUGGGGAAGAAUGGGGGGUUUGUUCAUUGUGGGGGAAGGGAAGUGUCCAGGACUUGGUGGGGGCUGGAGGUGGAAAGUGAUUGGACCAGGGCACUGACCAAUCACUCGAUGCCCUGGGGAAAUGAUUGGUCCAAAAUGAACAUCAGUAAGGACCAAUCAAAGCGCCCAAAUUCCACCAAUCGGUGCGCGGAUCCAAAACCCACCAAUCCUGGACCAGGGACUGUUAUGAAAAGGGGGGCUUUGAGUUCUUCGGGGUGCUUUCGGGUUUAUUCCUGUUCGUGUGCGGUUUGUUUGCGGAAGAACCCAACGUGUGCUUAAGAUGUUGUUCUAGAUUUUGAGCUGUUGUGUGUGGAUUCUGAGCUUAUCUCAGGUCCUCUGUCCUCUCUGGCUUGUUUUAAUAAACGAGAGCCUUUUUCAACCACUUUCUGAAAAUUGGCCUUGUUCUAUUUUUAACAACAUGGUUUCCUUCACUGGCAUCCCCAGGGGUCCUUGUAGAGAAAGAGCCAGAGAACAUUGCUUUAUCAGAGAUGCCAUGCCAGGCUCAGGGAGAGCUGUUCCCAGCCCGAGAGCAGGAAGAACAGCUCAGGCAGCAGGUGGAAGGGCCAGAGCAGAAUGGCCAGAACAUCAAGGCAGAGCCAGAAGCAGAGCUGCCCGAAGCUCAGAGUGCCAUCAUGGCAGUGGAGAGGAGGAAGAAGGAAGACAUGAGAAGAAUUCAAGAGGAGAUUCAUCUCCACCAGCACAGGGGCGAUCAACAAAAACAUGUAAGUGAAAGAGUGGCAGCCACUCCACUCAUUAAACAGCGUGUUUAUUCUUGGUUACAGACCAUCAAGGAAGAUGUGCAGGCGGAGCUGCAGGAAUCUGAGGAUAGGAACAAGGAAAGGGUGAGGAGGCUGGAGGAAGAAAUGAAAAUCAUCAGAGAGAAACUUAACCGCCUCCCUUGGGCUCUACAAAAGCAAGUGACAAAAGCAACAGCCAUCUCUCCCCUGGCUCCCUCUGCUCCUGGAGAAGAUGCCAAAAAGGAGCAAAAUGAGCAGGAUAACCACAUGCGCCCAGCCGUGGUCACAGCCCAGCCUGAUCAUCCCAAGAGAGGAGAAUGGUGACCAUGGAAAAUCCCGCAAUGAAAUACAUGGAACAGGAACACAUUAGCAGCGGGUCUUUUGGAGAUGUGGUUAGAGCACUCAACAAUACCACAGGAGGAGAGCACAAUGUUUAUUGCAAACUGAAACAAGAUGAGCAAAGUAAAAACAAUGUCAUGCGCCUUUGGGAGCAUCCUUGUUGAUCUUUCUGCUUUUUCUGUUGAGCAAGGCUCUGAUCCAGGCAAAGAGAUUGCACUUAGUGACACAGAACCAUUUGGCUGGAACUCUGCUGAUUUCUAGUAACAGCUGGAGGCCUGGAUCUCCACAGGAUGCUUUGGCUGUCCCAGGCUUUGUUGGCUUUUGGCUGCAAAUACCAUUGCCCUUGCUUUCUCAUCCAGAAGUACCAUGGCUGUGCAAAAACUGCCAGUGGGCCAUAUUUCAAAGGCAACUUGGGCUGGAGUUUGUGAAGGAAGGAGACGCUUACCCAAUUCCACACCACAUUAAAAAAUAAUAAACGAGAACUUCCCAUCCUUAACAAACAACUGACAAUUCAGAAGUGGAUACAGAGCUUUUUUACAGAAUGAAAAAUAGGGAAUUUUCCAGUGGUGUUGUGAUUUCUGGAGUUUUUAUUCUGACUCACAGCUAGCACUGGAGAAAGUCAUGUCCCUGGAAGUGUCAUUGUCUUCUGCCUGCAACCAUCAGAGGCAUCAGGCUGGAGACAGGCUCAGCUGACGUUAGCAACAGGAGCUGCCCCAAGGAGAAAAAAUUGAAUGAACUUGUGCCUCUCAAACCCAUCUCCCCACAGGCUCCAGCAGGAUUCCUUUGGUUCUUAUAAAUACACAGAAAUAGGGCUGAGAAGACCAUCUGAAUCUAUGUGUUCAUGCCCAAGACCUCGCUGAUGCUGUUUGGGUUUUGUAAUUUUUCUUUUCUAUGUUUUCUGUAUUCUUUGCACAUAUAUUUGUAGCUCUAUAGCCUAUUCUAUUAGUGAGUAGUUUUCCCAGUACUUCUCCAUGGCCUUUCCCUAAGCAGAAAGACAAACCUCCAGAGCUCCAAGCACCAGGGAGUAGAAGGCCCCAGUGCUAUCUUGGUUCUUCCUGGGACAGACCCCUCCAGGCAGCUGGUGGAGUCACCAUCCCUGCAAGUGUUUAAGACAAGACUGGAUGUGGCACUAGGUGCCGUGGUUUAGUUGAGCUGUUAGGGCAUGGGUUGGACUCCAUGAUCUUGCAAGUGUCUUCCAGCCCAGUGAUUCUGUGAUUCUGUGACUGAGGGAGCUUUCCCUGGAGACCAGGAAAGGCCUCCGGGGGCCUUG